rnacentral:tRNA from 1 species
UGGGGUUGUGGCUCAGUGGUAGAGCACUUGCAUCACAUGUGGGAGGCACUGGAUUCAAUUCUCAGCACCACAA